AUUGAACGCUGGCGGCAGGCUUAACACAUGCAAGUCGAGCGGAGCGAGGGUGCUUGCACCUUAGCUUAGCGGCGGACGGGUGAGUAAUGCUUAGGAAUCUGCCUAUUAGUGGGGGACAACAUUCCGAAAGGAAUGCUAGUACCGCAUACGCCCUACGGGGGAAAGCAGGGGAUCUUCGGACCUUGCGCUAAUAGAUGAGCCUAAGUCGGAUUAGCUAGUUGGUGGGUUAAAGGCCUACCAAGGCGACGAUCUGUAGCGGGUCUGAGAGGAUGAUCCGCCACACUGGGACUGAGACACGGCCCAGACUCCUACGGGAGGCAGCAGUGGGGAAUAUUGGACAAUGGGCGGAAGCCUGAUCCAGCCAUGCCGCGUGUGUGAAGAAGGCCUUUUGGUUGUAAAGCACUUUAAGCGAGGAGGAGGCUACUUAGAUUAAUACUCUGGGAUAGUGGACGUUACUCGCAGAAUAAGCACCGGCUAACUCUGUGCCAGCCGCCGCCGUAAUAC
rnacentral:rRNA from 1 species